rnacentral:rRNA from 1 species
AGUGAGUGGCGGAACGGGUGAGUAACACGUGAGUAACCUGCCCUCUUCUUUGGGAUAACGCCCGGAAACGGGUGCUAAUACUGGAUAUUCACUGAUCUUCGCAUGGGGGUUGGUGGAAAGGUUUUUCUGGUGGGGGAUGGGCUCGCGGCCUAUCAGCUUGUUGGUGGGGUGAUGGCCUACCAAGGCUUUGACGGGUAGCCGGCCUGAGAGGGUGACCGGUCACAUUGGGACUGAGAUACGGCCCAG